rnacentral:rRNA from 1 species
UACGUAGGGCGCAAGCGUUGUCCGGAAUUAUUGGGCGUAAAGAGCUCGUAGGCGGUUUGUGCGUCUGCUGUGAAAGCCCGGGGCUCAACCCCGGGUCUGCAGUGGGUACGGGCAGACUAGAGUGCAGUAGGGGAGACUGGAAUUCCUGGUGUAGCGGUGAAAUGCGCAGAUAUCAGGAGGAACACCGAUGGCGAAGGCAGGUCUCUGGGCUGUUGACUGACGUGGAGGAGCGAAAGCAUGGGGAGCGAAACAGGAAUUAGAUACCCGGGUAGUC